CUUAAUGCAUCUUAAGGCACCUCUUCACAGAAGGCGGUGGAAGGCUGCUUACGUGAUGGCAUGUGGAUAGCGAUGCCAUCCGUUUGUUUUUUUCUCCUCCAUGACAGAGAAGCAGGAAAACAUUCCUAAAUUUAUUUAUAGACGUUAAAAAAAAAUCAGGCUUGGUUUUUUCCUGUAACUGUUCUUCAGCCGGCAGCAAGUAUAGCAGCAAGUAUACAGCAGCAAGUAUACAGCAGCAAGUAUACAGCAGCAAGUACAGCAGCAGCAAGUACAGCAGCAGUACUUUAUGAGUUGUUGUGUUUAUUCCCUGCCUUUUGGCUUUACUCAAGAAAACCAGUUGUGUUUCUCAGAGCAACUGUAUUGUUUUAUUUGCCACUCUCUUCACUUUGUCCAUUAUAGUACAAUAGAUUGUCCUUGUCCCGUCUCCAAAUUGGAAGCUCCCUAGGUGGUGGUCAGGCUGUUGAUGAGAUUUGUAUUCUAUCAAAGCUCCAUUUUAGAUAAUCUAUCAUCAUUUUUUAUACGCAGUAAGUCGCUGAUUUUGUUUCUUUUUUUCAAACAGUUUUGAUUUGAAGUUCCUUUAAAGGCUGUUGGAGCUUUUGCAAAUACCCAGCUAAUGAAAGGCACUUAAGAUUGGGCCCAUGUGCAUCAUCACAUUGAAGUUUUCUGUCUAAAGGAAGGUUCCAGCUACCUGUUACCCUUUUGCUAAACACAGUUGCAGUGUUGCAGUGUAUUUCAUGACAAAAGUGUACUCUAGUUUUCUGUGAAAUGAUUAUUUUCUCUGAAAUGAUUCUUGGUCAUGUUGAGCUUCUAAAUGUUAAAGAGAACAUAGUGCUUUUGACCUGUGGAAAUCUCAUCUUGGUACCAUGGUGCUGCACAGACCAUCAGGAAGAACUGAAAAGUUCAGGCAACUUGAGAAAAUAAAGUCACCACCAGCAAGAAGCUGUCUAAAAUAACCGGAAGAUUAUAACCCAAGCACGUGGAGGAGUGUGCUAGUGAGUAGAAUGUUAUGAAAGCUACUAGAGGUCCUCCAUAGAUGCAUGUGCUAGUCCUAAGGAGAAGGAAGAGGAGAAGGAUUGCCACGGAGGAACACCUGAAGUUUCAGUUGAGCACUUUGUUUGGAAAGUUGUCCAAGGCUGGAGUUGUGAGAGCUGGGAAAGACCUCACAAGCUUCUCUAAUUCAAGUCCUUGUUUCACAUAUGAGAAUGCAGAGGCCCUGAGAAGUUGAUUCCCAGGCCUGCAUGCUGGCCUGGAACUAGAGCCUGGGUCUCCUCUUGCUUUUUCCAGCUGUCUGCCCAGGUAGCUCCCCAAGGCAGGCAUGGAGGCAGAGCUGCUUUGGGUUCCAGGGGGCAGGUUUGGGCUGGGGCCUGCUGUGUGACCACAGUCUCCCAUCUUAGAUUGAAGCUACAUCGCUGUGUGCAUCUAACUCUUGAUUCACGGUCUGACCGACGCCUUGGUUUCUGGAGAACUGCCCUCGUUUAUGGAAGAGUCACUGUCAUCAGGAGCCAUCCCAGGGAGAGGCUCAGUGGGAAGUGUAAAGGUGGAGCAAGUAAACCGGCUCCAGAAGAGAAGGCGAAGAAGGACUAUUUCUGUUUAGAUUUGCUUAACCGCAUUUUCACUUUCUUGGGAACCCCUGAUGGAGUUCAAGGUCAUAGAAGAGAAGAAAUCAGACACUGCUACAGGACUCUUGCUCUUGGUUCAGAUUAUUCAAUGGGAGGGGAGAAGAGAGUAGUCGCAAGUGAUUGUUGUAGAUUUUGUCUCAGCUUUUUGUUUUUCUUUGUAUCAAACCUGUUUUGAGAUCAUACACUGUUACAGAGAAAGAGAGGAGGCAUAUUAUAAACGUGUGGACUUCAGUGUUAUUCCUUCUCUUCAAAAUGAUGUUCCAGGUGUCUAGAGGGUGAGGUAUGUCAUUUACAUGAAGGUUAAGAAUAAAACAGAAAGUGCCUCUA
rnacentral:lncRNA from 1 species